rnacentral:rRNA from 1 species
ACGGGUGAGUAACGCGUGGUCAACCUACCGUUGAGUGGGGGAUAACUAGCCGAAAGGUUAGCUAAUACCGCAUACGUCUCCGAGUGGCAUCACUUGGCGAUAAAAGGAGCAAUCCGCUCGAUGACGGGGCCGCGUCCCAUUAGCUAGAUGGUGGGGUAACGGCCUACCAUGGCACCGAUGGGUAGCUGGUUUGAGAGAGCGACCAGCCACACUGGGACUGAGAAACGGCCCAG